rnacentral:tRNA from 4 species
GGGCCCGUCGUCUAGCUUGGUUAGGACGUCGCCCUCACACGGCGAAGAUCCUGGGUUCAAGUCCCAGCGGGCCCA